AUGCCUUUGGAGAUGGGGCCCAAAAUGAGCAAAUUUGCCUUUAGGUAUCAGAGAAGUUCCAUAUCAGAUAAUGAUUCUGGCUGUGCACUGGAGGAGUACUCCGAGGUCCCCUGGGCCUUAGACCAGAGCAAAUCUAGCUCUCUUUUGCUUGCUUAUCAGAGGAAAAUGUCCUUAUAUUAACAUCCCUGGAAAGAAACAUCUGAUUAAAGGGCUUGUAUACCAGUUGCUACAACAUGAUAAUGACAUAUAGUAUUGUCAGUCUUUGAAAGAAGAUGAGAAUAAAGAAUUCCAAGUGUUCAGUGCUUAGCAGCAGAAAGAAGCACUUGGAAGAGGCAUGAUUAAACUUUUGUCUAGAGCAGGAAUGCACGCUAUGUGUGAGCAAUGUGGGUUGAAGAUCAACUGAGGUAAAAUUGCAGUGUUUGCCUCUCGAGUGGGCCCUGGAGUGUACUGGUACUCAUUCUGUUUUGUCUGUUUCACGUGUAAAGAGCUGCUGGUCAACCUCGUCUAUUUUUAUCAGGAUGAAAAAAUUCACUGUGGCAGGCACCAUGCUGAAUUGCUCAAACCCUGAUGCUCAGCAUGUGCUGAGAUAAUUUUGUUGAUGUUUGCACAGAAACUGAGAGUCACCAUUGGCACAUGAAACACUUCUGCUGCCUUGAGCGCAAAAUGGUCCCCAGAGGACAAGGUAUGUUAUGAAGGAUAGCCACCCAUUCUGCUGUGGUGGUUUUGAGCCUGUCUAUGCAGAGUGCUGUGAAAUCUGUGGGAACAUAUUAGUGUCGACCAUGUGCAGAUGACCUAUGAUGGGAAGUUCUGGCGUGCUGCAGAAGCAUGCUUUUCUCGUGUCUAGCAUAAAUCCUUUUUGUUGGAUGUCUCUUCUUUACCAAAGUCAGAUUUAUUACUCAAAAAUAUGCCACCUCGGGCCAGGCAAUACAUCCAUGCUUCUAAUUCUUCCAAUUAUCCAUUUCAGUGAGCUUGAUCAAGAAACACCAGAAAAAGUAUCUGAAUGAGCAAAAGCAGUUGGUCAGCAGAUCAGUGUAGACAGUCUCUCCUCUUGUUCCCUGCUCUGAACUACAAGUUUUCUGGCCUUUUGGGCGAUGCUGAUGACACUCUUUCUCAGAAAUUGUAUAUUCUGAGUCUCUCCAGGCAAGGAACAUUUUUAUCAAUGCGGAAUUUUGGAAAGACAGAGUACAGCAUUAAACCCCAGAAGACCCUGAAGGACUGGGUGGGCAUGAAGAUUAUAUGACAUAGCUCCUCCUCAAAUUUGGUGAUAAAAGCCUCUUCAGCAGCAGCCCAAUGAGAUGGAUAUUUGAGCCAAUCAGCACUGGAUAUCUGAUAGCAUAAAAUAAGAACUAGCUAAAGCAAAACAACCAGAACCUUGCAAAUAAAAAUUACUGACCUGAUAUGGACUGGGCACAAGAUGAACAGUGUUUCUGCUCAUGGCAACCACACAGGCCCUGUAAGCAGUAGAAGGCUCUAGAAAUUGAAUCUGGACCAUGGGGCUUCAGGGUAGGCUAAUGAUCAAACACAGGGGUAUGAAAAUCCCCUGGGGUUUUUGUCAGACUUGAAACCAGAGAAACGUGCUCAGGAUUCUAUGGAUUCUUUGGCUUUGUCCAACAUCACAGUAGCUUCAGCGGAUGGAUGAAGCAAGCUGAGGUCAUCCUUAUAUUCUCUGCAAACUCUGAAAAAAACGGAGGCAGAAGAUUAUGAGAAAAUCAGCAGUAUGGAAACUUUGAACUCUGCUGCAUGGAAGUGCAGAGGCCUUAAAGAGUCUAAGUUCAGAUUUUUGUCUAGAAAAAAAACAUCAUGCCUCAUGAAAAACUAGUACAUCUGCCAGUACUCAGACAAUCCAAGUCUCAAUCUAGACCACAGAAGGUCAGAGGAUGUCACUGACAAUGGAAACUGCAACAUCAAGAUCAGGCAGCGUCCAAUGAGUGACAAGACCUGGGUGUACCAUUUUGAAGAGAAGGGAUCCAGAUCUCAUCACCAUUUCCACAGAAGUAGAAAGCCCCACUCUGACAAUAUCCUGAAUAUUGUUAUAGAAAGAGAAUAUUCUCCCAAGGACAGGCUGCAGCUUUACAUCCCCAAUAACUACAGUAAUUUAUGUGGAAUAAAAGGGCUCAGGACAUCCAAGCGUACAUCCAGAAUGCCGAUCUCUAUAGAGAGCAUGCCCGUUCACUUCCCUCCAUUCCUAUGUCCCCGGGAGUGAAGAAGUUUCUGGGAUUCCUGGUGUUUCUCCUUCUCGUCCUCCUCUUCCGACUCAGAACAAAAGGAUUAUUUUCUUGAACAAUCAAUCCCUCAGCCCCACGCCACAGAGAUACGCCUACUAUACAGAUGACCUUUCUAGUCCAACUCCCUGCCCGUCAGUUUGGUUAGAGGACCACUAAAUUCAAGAAGAAAAGUGGACACACAUGCAAAAACUAUUAUUUCUU
rnacentral:lncRNA from 1 species